rnacentral:pre_miRNA from 1 species
ACAUAAACUACCUGGGGACCUUGAUAAAAAUGCAGGUUCUGACUCAGCAGAUGUGGGAUGGGGCAAGAUUCUGCAUUUCUAACAAGCUCCUAAGUGAUGUCAAU